rnacentral:RNase_P_RNA from 1 species
UGUGAGAGGUAGGUAUCUACUUGUAAAAUAUUUACAAGAGGAAAGUCUGGACAUCACGAGAGAAACAUAAAAGCUAACAGCUUUGGUUUUGGAAAUAAUUCAUAAAUCCAAAACACAAACAGUGCCACAGAGACAAUACUAGCUUCGGCUAAAGGUGAAAAGUCAUUUGGUGUUCUAUUUUUAAACUAUUUUUCUUAGAAAAACGUGUAAAAGUAAAGCUACAGAUGAGUUUGGCAACAAACUGGUAAACUUUAUGUGAUGCAAUGGGAAUGGUAUUUUUAGGGAUUAUCUCUCUAUUGUCCCGAAAAAAUAUACUCAGCUUGAGUUUUGAAGUAAUUCAAAACCUAGAUAGAUUGAUACUUAAGUACAGAAUCCGGCUUAUUACUCUCACAAAAA